UCCUUGGUGGCUCAGAUGGUAAAGAAUCCGCCUCCAAUGCGGGAGACCCAGGUUUGAUCCCUGGGUUGGGAA
rnacentral:tRNA from 1 species